CGCAUUUCUCUGUGGGUGCUACCGCCGUUCCAUUUGGCUCCAGCUGAAAACGUAUGAUCUGGUUGGAACGUUAUUGGAUAUAUAUGAUAAUAACAUCCUGAAGAUUGAUUAUCUACUUAGUUUGACCAGUUUAUUCGACCUGGAAUAUCUUUUGGACGUUUUGGUGCAAGUUAUCCUGGACCAGCAGUCAGUUUUUGGGCACGUGAGCUCAAAGCUAUGUGCAAAUGCAGCUACUUGGACACUAGUAUUGGACAUUAUGGAACAAAUCAACGAUUUAUUGUGGAACUAGGACUCCUUGCACUACAUUCUGAUGAAAGAUCAUCAAAGCUGAAUGGGGGGUGGAGUUCCCUGAGGGGUGGAGUUCCCAUUUCUAAGUGCCACACACAGCCAUGUGUUCGAUGGGGGCCUCCAGCCCCCGUGUGGCCUCGUCCUCCACCGCCUUCAGUCUUCAGGAGCAACGUCACAUUGGUCACCAUCACCUGGGGGACCAGCGGACAAACGUAGAGAUACAGGGAACAUAGUGUGAAGACCAGUGGGGCGGGAUUCGAUCCAACACAUGCAGGGGAUGGUAUAUGUGCCAAGAGCAGCAACCUCAACCUCUUAGGCCCAGAAGGAAACUAUUUUACCUUGUUUGAGUUCUUCAGCUGUAGCAUGGCAGGGUCGUCGUGAGGCUGGCCAGCCGCUGCCUUGGUGGCACUGAAGAGGUCACCCAG
ensembl:lncRNA